AAGCGGUGGAGCAUGUGGUUUAAUUUCGAUGAUACGCGAGAAACCUUACCAGGGCUUGACAUAUACAGGAAUGUUGUAGAGAUACAGCAGCCGCUUGCGGUCUGUAUACAGGUGCUGCAUGGCUGUCGUCAGCUCGUGCUGUGAAGUGUUGGGUUAAGUCCCGCAACGAGCGCAACCCCUAUCAUCUGUUGCCAGCAUUUAAGGUGGGGACUCAGAUGAGAUUGCCGGUGACGAACCGGAGGAAGUGGGGACGACGUCAAGUCAUCAUGGCCCUUAUGUCCUGGGCUACACACGUGCUACAAUGGCCGGUACAGAGUGAAGCGAAACCGCGAGGUGAAGCAAAACGCAGAAAGCCGGUCUCAGUACGGAUUGGAGUCUGAAACUCGACUUCAUGAAGUUGGAAUCGCUAGUAAUCGCGCAUCAGCAUGGCGCGGUGAAUACGUUCCCGGGCCUU
rnacentral:rRNA from 1 species